rnacentral:rRNA from 1 species
AGGGUUUGAUCAUGGCUCAGGAUGAACGCUAGCGGCAGGCCUAAUACAUGCAAGUCGAGGGGUAACAGAAAGUGCUUGCACUUUGCUGACGACCGGCGGACGGGUGAGUAACGCGUAUAUAAUCUGCCUCAUACUAGAGGAUAGCCCGAAGAAAUUUGGAUUAAGACUCUAUAGUAUCAUUUAAAGACAUCUUUUUAUGAUUAAAGGUUACGGUAUGAGAUGAGUAUGCGUUCUAUUAGUUUGUAGGUGAGGUAACGGCUCACCUAGACUACGAUAGAUAGGGGCCCUGAGAGGGGGACCCCCCACACUGGUACUGAGACACGGACCAGACUCCUACGGGAGGCAGCAGUAAGGAAUAUUGGUCAAUGGACGAAAGUCUGAACCAGCCAUGCCGCGUGCAGGAUGAAUGCCCUAUGGGUUGUAAACUGCUUUUAUACAGGAAGAAAAACUUUCUCGUGAGAAAGCUUGACGGUACUGUAAGAAUAAGGAUCGGCUAACUCCGUGCCAGCAGCCGCGGUAAUACGGAGGAUCCAAGCGUUAUCCGGAAUUAUUGGGUUUAAAGGGUCCGUAGGUGGAUAAUUAAGUCAGAGGUGAAAUCCUGCAGCUUAACUGUAGAAUUGCCUUUGAUACUGGUUAUCUUGAGUUAUUAUGAAGUGA